rnacentral:rRNA from 1 species
UACGAAGGGUGCAAGCGUUAAUCGGAAUUACUGGGCGUAAAGGGUGCGUAGGCGGUUGUUUAAGUCUGUCGUGAAAUCCCCGGGCUCAACCUGGGAAUGGCGAUGGAUACUGGACAGCUAGAGUGUGUCAGAGGAUGGUGGAAUUCCCGGUGUAGCGGUGAAAUGCGUAGGGAUCGGGAGGAACAUCAGUGGCGAAGGCGGCCAUCUGGGACAACACUGACGCUGAAGCACGAAAGCGUGGGGAGCAAACAGG